AAAAACAUACAAAACAGAAAACCAAAAAC
rnacentral:sRNA from 1 species